rnacentral:lncRNA from 1 species
ACCCUCUGACCGCCGCCGUGACCCCCGUCGCUCCGGCUUCCCUCCAGGCGGCAGCGGAAGGUGGGAGCGACGACUGCAAAACGGCAGCGAUGGGCUCCCGCAACCUCCGGAGCUUGUGCGCGUACUUCAGGGACCGGCACCACGUCACCGUCACCUCCUGAGUAGUGAGUUCCCCUCUGAUGAAACCACUGGUGUGUUUACUCACCAUCCCCACCAUUUUUUUUUCCCCAACCUGAUGGAAGGAAGUACAUAAUGGAGAGCAAGUUUUUAAAGCACGGUCGUGUCGUGUGAACUUGCUCUAGCCAAAUUAGGUUUAUAGCACUUUUUUUGGCUCUCAUUACCUCCAGUCCCCACAUAAACAAGAGUGACCAGCUGGGUCAUCCGCAAGACCGUUUGAAAUUAUUGUGGCUUGGGUGGAAACUUAAAGGAGUGAAGUAUCUGCUUUCCAGAAAAAUCGUUGUCAUUCAAAGUGAAAUUAAACUUGUUUUCUUUGCAAUAAUUCGCCUUUAUUUCCUUGUAUAUCUGUAAACUCUUCACUUUUUUGUAAUUACUAGACAAUUCGGACUUAAAAAGAGCCUCAGCAUGUGUAUUUUGGAAUUGUGUAGCUUCAUAAUGUGAAAAUUAUUCUUUUCUAUUUGAGUAAAGUACAGUUAAUUUGAAGUAAAUAAAAUUUCUAUUUCCAUUGGUUGUUUCUUUUAAAAAGUCACCUUUUACUUACAAAAGAAUCACUGUAAUCCAGUUUACAUUUAUCAUUGAAGGUCAAAAGCAAGAAAUAGGAAGAAACACAAGCAUACUAUAAAAUAAAAGGUAACUGUCAUGUUUUUGAAGGUAAGGUGUUUUGACAUAUCAGCAGACAUUGUGUGAAUUUAUUUCAACUCCUAGUGGUACUGGUGUAGGUAGAAAAUGUUUUGCUUGGUUAUUCAUUUCAUCAAACACUCUACUUCACUGUUUUUUUUUCACUUCAGGAAAAUUCGAGGAGGAACAACACAUACUAGUGUCUUUCCUUUCUUUCUCCCCGUCUUCUGCAAAUAGUCCCUUCCUCUUCCUGCUUUCUCCUCCUUCUCAUGUUAACAUCUUCAACCAUAAGAUGGUGUGUUAAAAGAUUGAAUAUACCUCUAUGGAAUGACUUCCAGAGGGUGUAAGUCUGAUAUGAGAGUUUUAUUACCUUGAGUAUUUUACUGGAAGAGAUAGAACAACAAACAUUUUCAUAAUAAAUGUGUGGGUUAGGAGUGUUAGGAGAAAAUACACUGAUACUAUUACUUUCAAUAUUUGAUACUACUUACUUUGACUCUCACUGAACACCUAUUUGUUUAGGAUGAAUUCACUUUAAGCCGGGUUGAAGAACAAGCCUUUAAUUGUCCUAUUAUUUGUGCCAAAUCUAUUAUAAAUUUGUUAAAAAAUUUUUAAUACCUACCUUAGAGGGUACUCUAGGUAUUUAAUGAGCUAGCAUUUGUUAAAGGCUUGUAUAGUAAGAAUUCUUAUAGUAAGAGUUCUUACCAAUAGAUGGUAUAUUUUUUAAAUUGUCCUGUUGCAUCAAAAA